UGGAAGUAAAAAGUCGUAACAAGGUCUCCGUUGGUGAACCAGCGGAGGGAUCAUUACUGAGUUACCGCUCUAUAACCCUUUGUGAACAUACCUAUACGUUGCUUCGGCGGCCGUCCCCCGGGGCGUCCGCCGGAGGAUAACCAAACUCUGAUUUAACGACGUUUCUUCUGAGUGGCACAAGCAAAUAAUCAAAACUUUUAACAACGGAUCUCUUGGUUCUGGCAUCGAUGAAGAACGCAGCGAAAUGCGAUAAGUAAUGUGAAUUGCAGAAUUCAGUGAAUCAUCGAAUCUUUGAACGCACAUUGCGCCCGCCAGCAUUCUGGCGGGCAUGCCUGUUCGAGCGUCAUUUCAACCCUCAAGCACUGCUUGGUGUUGGGGCUCUACGGUUGACGUAGGCCCCCAAAACUAGUGGCGGACCCUCUCGGAGCCUCCUUUGCGUAGUAACUUUUGUCUCGCACUGGGAUUCGGAGGGACUCUAGCCGUUAAACCCCCCAAUUUUUUAAAGGUUGACCU
rnacentral:rRNA from 1 species